ACACCUGUAGAUAUUUGUUAACAGUGAUGAAGAAAGGCUAGUUACACACUGGCCAACAUAUAGGGCUUCCUAACACACCAAAUGUAUUAUGGGUUAUCUUGCUGGGUAUAAUAGCUAUUAUACUUCUGUGUGAAAAAGGGAUAUCACUAGUUUUAUAAGGUAGCAGAAUUGCAUUACAUAAUCAUUUUCUGUAGGAGGUGUUUAGGAAUUGCAACCUAUGAAAAGACAUUUCCUUAAGACUUUUAUUGUUCAAUUUUGUUACAUUGUUUUCAAAAUAAAUUUUAAAAAUAAGUAGUAAUUUCUUCAAAACUGUGAGGUGUCUCAAAAGUACAAUAAAUGAACCAAUUCAUCUGUGUUUCCAGAGCUUCAGGGCACUUCAUAGUGUAUUUAUUAUACCUGGUCCAGAGGAACAAAUGAAUUCAUUGCUUCACCUGAAGAAUUGUCUGGGAGUUACAGAAUGAUGUCGGAAGCAUAUCAUUUAAAAUGUCACUAACUUUUCUUUUUACAACUGAAAAUCAGACAACAUCAACAAUAAAGGACAAUGGGUCAAGGUAGGGACAUGGCUUUUUUAAAGCUCACCUUCAGUUGUUGCACAUCAAACCCUAAAUUUAACACGUCCUUCACUGGCGUUCCAUUAGCAAUGUCAAGAAUCACAUUGAGAGCCUCGGAACAUUCUUUUGCUCUCUGCUGCACCUAAUAGGAUUAAUAGAAGAAAGAAAUGAUAAAGUAAAAGAUUUUAACAUUUAUCUUAAAGUUUGUAUAGCGGUUGCAUUUGGGAAAAUAGUUGGUUUGUUAUAAACUGGAAACAUCUGAGUGAUUAAUGAUUAGAGUGCAGGCUGACAUGGGGACAUGGUUAUCAGCUUCACAGGGAAGUAUAGCUUAGUUCAAAUCCUGGCUCUGUGCUUAGGUGCUGUGUAACUUCAGAUGAUUUACUUAACCUCCCUGGGCUUCCACUGAUUGUAUAACAAUGUUUACAUCAAUAAAAUGUGGGUGAACUUCAAUGCCAUACCAUAUGUAAAAUGCCGACAACAAAGAAACAAUAAAUAUGCUUUAUUUCACUUAAUUGUCCCAACAGCUCUGUAAGAUAGACACUGCUAUUAUAACUCACUGUUUUGUAACAGAUAAAAUGCGGAAGCAAAAGAGAUGAACUUGUCCUGGUUCAGCCCACAGCAAAGUGAUGAAGCUAGUAGAGUUCAACUUUCAAACGUAGGAAGUUGGAUUAUGAAGACUGUACUCUUAGCACUGUUAUAUACUGCCUCUCUGAAGUCUUUUUUUUUUCUAUUGCCUGCAGGAGUGGGGAUCUAUUAGUUUAUUUCCUAUCACUUUUGAGAUUCUAAAAUUAUAAGUUUCAAUACCAGAGAACUCUGCCAGACAGACUUGCGUUUACUUUUACUGUGAACCAGACAUUUUGUUAAGGAAAUCUUACUACUUGGAUAUCUUCUGAUAGAUCUUUUGGUAAUGGGAAGUAGGAGAGCCAGGAGCAUAGUUUGCCAUGUGUAAAAUUAAAUUAACAAAUGUCAUUGUUUUUUACAUACAUGCUUUAGGCCACCAGAACACCUCUCUUCUCAUGGCAAAGUACCUGCUGUUUUUGAAAAGUCUCCUCCUCUCCUUGUUCCAGGGUUUUAAAGUAGAGCCAAGACCUGUUCCUUGUUUCUGCAGCAGACUGGUCCUCGAAAUAGUGUCCCAUGAUGAAGGCUUUCCCCAUCUUUCCUUCGAACCUGCACAGCCUGGAAGAGCAAAUGGGGCAGUGGUCCUAAGCCAACCUGCUACUCUCACUAUAUUCUUGCCUGCCCGGUGGGCCUCUAAGAGGAAAAACCAAGGACCAGCCACAGAAAGAUGAAAUUCUGAGACCCACAGGCCCGAAGGAAAGUCCAAACUUUUCCAGUUGAGGAGACAGAAACUUCCAUCAAAAGUUCCAGGAGAUAAUGAAGAAGACAAUGUUUUCUAUUAUCUGUUUUUGAUUGGCCUUUUGCAAAAGGAGCCUCAUCUCGGACUCAAGCCAGCUACCAACGUGGGAUUGCCAACCUCUCCAGGAGGAGAGAGAGCUCACUGGAAUCUGAGUAGCAAUAAGGCAGAGAAUGAAACUGAGCAUCCCACUGACAAUGCCUUUCUGCUGAGGCCCAUCCUCUCUGCCCUGUGAAUGUCUCCAGCUGAGGGUUACUGGGAACAAAGACGAUGGAACAACUAUUGCAGGCAAAUAGGAAAGGUUUCUGUCAUGGAAUUGACCAAAAUAUCAAACCUGACAAAGCUCCACCAAGCUGUGGCUCUGCGGGACUACAAUUUAGUAAAGAGGAUUUUGAAGAAAGGUCUUUGUGACCCAAACUACAAGGAUGUCGACUGGAAUGACCGGACCCCCCUUCACUGGGCUUCAAUCAAAGGUGGGUGGGCGAUGCCUUAGUAGAUCCACCCCUGUGAGCCCACCAUUCAGUCUACAGGCUGUGUUACUGAGUAGAAAAAAAUAUUUUUCUGGAGCUAGAUGGAGCAUUUCAAUCAUCACCCCUUACCCACAUUAGCAAAUUUAGUUUGUUAUUUAAUGUCUCUGGGCCUCAGUUUAUGCUUCUAUAUAAUGGGGGUAGUAAUGUUACAGUGGAGUGAUAGGCAUUCAGUAAGAUAGUGGGUAUACAACACCUAGCAUAUAAUCUGCUCUUAAUUAAUAUUAGUCUUUUGCCAUUUCCAAAACCACCUUCAGAGAGUACUUGUCACCUGCUGGCCACUGGACUGUGUACUUUAUCUUUGUGGGUUCACUUGUACUUCUCAAA